CUCGGUAUUGGUGAAUAAUUGGAUUUGUUGUUGUGAAGACUUGGGCAAUUGCACCCCUGAUGUGUUACUGUACUGUUAUUUAGUGAUGAAUUGUUUAUCCCUAAAGCUGUUGAUGUACUGUCUCUUACGGUAUCCCAAACCUAUAGCUAAUUGGGGCUGCCUCAAGUUCUUACAUCUGCACAGUAGAUGAUGUUGUACCAUUGCAAAAAUUAAAUAGGCAUCUGUCUAUUAGUCCUUUGUUUUACCCCCUUGAUUUAAAUUUUCCAGGUUUUAAUACUAGAUUAGCUGAACGAAUAAGAUCAGGUGGGCCAGAGAUGAACAGUAAAAAAUUCAGGAAGGAAUAAUUUUAUUUUUCUUUUGUUAUCACAUGUGUGUCAGCGGGUCCUUUUUUAGUGACCUGCAAAUGAUGCUAAAAUCAGUGGUAAUUUUGCAUGUGGUUGAUAUUUCCAGGUGUAGUCAUUUAAAUGAGGAAAUCAGUUUUAAUGAACUUGAUGAGAAGAUGAGUUCAUCACUGCCAGCCUUCUCUUAUAUUUUCAGCAGGGGAUAAAUUUUAAUAGAUGUGAGAAUAGAAGUGCUUUGCAGAGAACUCUCAGCAUCACUUAGCCAGGUCUUGAUGUAAGAAGCCACAGGUGUCUCAUUGCUGAUCAAGUUGUAGAUUUAUUAUUUGGAUUUUUGGUUGUGUUUUCUUUUUUGCUGACAUAUUUUGUAUUGACAAGUCUCUGCUUGCGUUCAAGCCACAUCAUAAUUGCUUCUGACCACAGUGAAAAAAAGAGUUCAAUGGCCUUCCUGCUCACCAUGGUGCUACUUUUCAGAAUGCUUCUAUUGAGAGUUAGCAUUUUCAUCACCAGUGAUUACAGACCUUCACAGAGCUCUGGUAACGAGAAUUCCUUCAUCAGACAGACAGCUCUGCAGUGUUUCUGUCUCAUGUGACUCCAGUGAAGGAGACCAGAGCUCUGCAGGUCACACCAG